rnacentral:rRNA from 1 species
UACGUAGGGGGCAAGCGUUGUCCGGAAUCAUUGGGCGUAAAGGAGCGUGUAGGCGGCCUGGUAAGUCCGCUGUGAAAGUUCCAGGGCUCAAACCCUGGAAUGCCGGUGGAAACUGUCAGGCUCGAGUCCGGAAGAGGCGGAGUGGAAUUCCUGGUGUAGCGGUGAAAUGCGCAGAUAUCAGGAGGAACACCAAUGGCGAAGGCAGCUCGCUGGGACGGUACUGACGCUGAGACGCGAAAGCGUGGGGAGCAAACAGG